UACGUAGGAGGCAAGCGUUGUCCGGAGUUACUGGGCGUAAAGCGCACGCAGGCGGUCGUGUCAGUCUGGGGUGACAGUUUCCGGCUUAACCGGAAAAGGACUCUGGAAACUGCACGACUUGAGGGCUUCAGAGGGAUGUGGAAUUCCCGGUGUAGCGGUGAAAUGCGUAGAGAUCGGGAGGAACACCCGUGGCGAAGGCGGCCAUCUGGACCAGCACUGACGCUGAGGCACGAAAGCGUGGGGAGCAAACAGG
rnacentral:rRNA from 1 species